AUACGGAGGGUGCAAGCGUUAUCCGGAAUCAUUGGGUUUAAAGGGUCCGCAGGCGGAUUAAUAAGUCAGUGGUGAAAUCCUCUCGCUCAACGAGAGAACUGCCAUUGAAACUGUUAGUCUUGAAUUCGGUCGAAGUAGGCGGAAUGUGUCAUGUAGCGGUGAAAUGCAUAGAUAUGACACAGAACACCGAUAGCGAAGGCAGCUUACUAGACCUGGAUUGACGCUCAUGGACGAAAGCGUGGGGAGCGAACAGGAUUAGAUACCCUGGUAGUCC
rnacentral:rRNA from 1 species